GAAGGUAUUGCUCAGUGGUAGAGGGUAUGCCUAGCAUGCAUGAGGUCUUGGGUUCAAUCCCCAGUACUGCCU
rnacentral:tRNA from 1 species